rnacentral:rRNA from 1 species
UACGGAAGGCAGCAGUGGGGAAUAUUGCACAAUGGGCGAAAGCCUGAUGCAGCUAUGCCGCGUGUAUGAAGAAGGCCUUAGGGUUGUAAAGUACUUUCAUCGGGGAGGAAAAAACAAAACUAAUAAUUUUAUUUCUUGACGUUACCCGAAAAAGAAGCACCGGCUAACUCCGUGCCAGCAGCCGCGGUAAUACGGAGGGUGCUAGCGUUAAUCAGAAUUACUGGGCGUAAAGAGCACGUAGGUGGUUUUUUAAGUCAGAUGUGAAAUCCCUGGGCUUAACCUAGGAACUGCAUUUUGAAACUGAAAUACUAGAGUAUCGUAGAGGGAGGUAGAAUUCUAGGUGUAGCGGUGAAAUGCGUAGAUAUCUGGAGGAAUACCUGUGGCGAAAGCGGCCUCCUAAACGAAUACUGACACUGAGGUGCGAAAGCGUGGGGAGCAAACAGGGAUUAAUACC